rnacentral:rRNA from 1 species
UGGGGAAUAUUGGACAAUGGGCGCAAGCCUGAUCCAGCCAUGCCGCGUGAGUGAUGAAGGCCCUAGGGUUGUAAAGCUCUUUCACCGGUGAAGAUAAUGACGGUAACCGGAGAAGAAGCCCCGGCUAACUUCGUGCCAGCAGCCGCGGUAAUACGAAGGGGGCUAGCGUUGUUCGGAUUUACUGGGCGUAACGCGCACGUAGGCGGACUAUUAAGUCAGGGGUGAAAUCCCGGGGCUCAACCCCGGAACUGCCUUUGAUACUGGUAGUCUUGAGUUCGAGAGAGGUGAGUGGAAUUCCGAGUGUAGUGGUGAAAUUCGUAGAUAUUCGGAGGAACACCGGUGGCGAAGGCGGCUCACUGGCUCGAUACUGACGCUGAGGUGCGAAAGCGUGGAGAGCAAACAGG